rnacentral:rRNA from 1 species
AUUGAACGCUGGCGGCAGGCCUAACACAUGCAAGUCGAACGAGUGGCGGACGGGUGAGUAAUGUCUGGGAAACUGCCUGAUGGAGGGGGAUAACUACUGGAAACGGUAGCUAAUACCGCAUACCAUCGGAUGUGCCCAGAUGGGAUUAGCUAGUAGGUGGGGUAAUGGCUCACCUAGGCGACGAUCCCUAGCUGGUCUGAGAGGAUGACCAGCCACACUGGAACUGCGACACGGCCCAGACUCCUACGGGAGGCAGCAGUGGGGAAUAUUGCACAAUGGGCGCAAGCCUGAUGCAGCCAUGCCGCGUGUAUGAAGAAGGCCUUAGGGUUGUAAAGUACUUUCAGCGGGGAGGCGUUACCCGCAGAAGAAGCACCGGCUAACUCCGUGCCAGCCGCCGCGGUAAUUC